rnacentral:lncRNA from 1 species
UACCCCCUGAGAUGGGAGCGGGCCCACAGUUUGGGGCAUUGCCCCAGCUGGCAGCUGAAGCACAGUUGGGGGCAUUGCCCCAGGUGGUGGGAGCUGAGCCACCAUGGAGUGCAGCCCCUGUGGUGGGAUCAGAUCCACCAUUGGGACUACCCCCUGAGGUGGGAGCUGACCCCCAGUAUAGGGCAUUGCCCCAAGGGGCAGCUCAACCAUAGUUUGGGGCAUUGCCCCAGCUGGCAGCUGAGCCACAACUGGGGGUGUUGCCCCAGCUGGCAGUUGAAGCACAGUUUGAGGCAUCGCCCCAGGUGGCAGCUGCGCUCCCUGUCCCUGCACACCCGGUACCCCCGGCUGGACAGAGGCCUGAGGCACCAUGGAGGUGACAUUGGGGGCAGGGAUGGGCUGGAAGGAUACGGGCACUGCUCCGCCAAUGGUGGUCUGCAUCGCAGCAGUGGCCGGUGGGGGCACAAAGGCUCCAAAUAAAGUUGCGUCGGGUGUCGGAAGCACCGUCAGCGAUGAAGGAAUUCUCUCUGUGGGGAAAUGCCCAAAUGGGCGCCGGGGUGAGAUGUGGGGCACUGGGACCCCCUGGAGGGCCGCAGUGCCAGGAGCAGGAGGAGCCUGCUGCCUUACCUGCCGUGGCAGCUCGAGAGUGGCGCUGGGGGGUUCCGUGAGCGCUGGGGUCAGCCCCUCUGCCCUGAGCUCACAGUGCCCCUCUGUGACGCUGUCCCGUGGUGUCACAGGCACUGCUCUGUGCCUGCCAUGUCAUCAACUUGCUGUGGCUGUAAUCAUGCUGGUGACAGCAUGGGACGAGUGUGGGGAGCUAUGGCCUCUGCCCUUCUCAUACUCCUCCUCCUGAUGGCCACAACUUUCUGGAAGUUCGCUGCUGCUCCGUGGCGAGCACCAGGAGCAGGUGGGUGAGCAAAACGGAGCGGCACGGGGGGCACGAAGUCACUGCAAGGACAGAGCCUUUGGGGCUCCCCCUCCCGUUCUCUUUUCUUCCCCUCUCCAUCCCAUUUCCAUUCUCUUCCCCUCCCCGUCUCCAGACACUUCCACACACGGACUGUUGUGUAUCAGCACGGUGCCACUGCAGGCGCCGCAGUCCACUCCUGCACAACCGCUGGUUCCAUCAGCUGUGGCUGUCCAG